rnacentral:tRNA from 1 species
GGAUCACCGUCGAGCUGGUCAAUAUCGGCGACGGGCUGCCGGCCCGUUCGGAUGUGAAGUUCCGCGACGUUCUCGUCGGUUCGGUCUCCGAUGUCACUCC